UACGGAGGGUGCGAGCGUUGUCCGGAAUCACUGGGCGUAAAGGGCGCGUAGGUGGCCUACUAAGUCAGACGUGAAAUCCCCCGGCUUAACCUGGGAACUGCGUCUGAUACUGGAAGGCUUGAGGAUGGGAGAGGGAUGUAGAAUUCCAGGUGUAGCGGUGAAAUGCGUAGAUAUCUGGAGGAAUACCGGUGGCGAAGGCGGCAUCCUGGACCGGCAUUGACGCUGAGGAGCGAAAGCUAGGGGAGCAAACGGG
rnacentral:rRNA from 1 species